GUCGUAGUGGUGGAGUGGUUAACACGCUGGGUGCAGGUCCCAGUGGGCUUUGCCCGCGCAGGUUCGAAUCCUGUCUACGACG